AUGCCGCUCCACCUGCUGCUCCUCCUCCUGCUCCUGCCGUCCGCCGCCGUGGCCGGCAAGGCCCGCCAGUCCUCCUCCUUCGCCCUCGAUUUCUUCCCUGGCGACGGCGCCAUCGCGCAGCUCGCUCUCACCGGCGCCAACGCCACCUCCGCCGGCGACAUCUCCAUGCGCUCCCCGCGCGCCCGGGUACAGUACCACAAACCCAUCCACUUGGCCCCCGUCGCCACCGGCUUCUCAACCUACUUCUCCUUCUCUCUCCACCCUAGCCCCAAAUCUCACGCCGCCUCCAUCGCCUUCUUCCUAACGCCCGCCGCGCCCUCGCCCGCCGUUAACGCCCUCGCCGUCGUCUUCGCCGCCGCGGACUCCAGCCACAUCCGAGUCCAAAUCGACCUCGCCGGUGAAACGGCCGCCCAGACCGCCCCCCGCGGCAUCCCCAAAAAGCUGCAUUCAUGGAUAGACUACAACGCCACAUCCGCCACGCUCCAGGUCCGUCUCUCUGCCUCGCGCCUCCCCAAGCCGCCGCGCGCGCUGCUCUCCCACCCGCUCCAUCUCCACUCCGCCCUCCUCCUCCGCAGCACCAAGCCCAUGCUCGCCGGAUUCGCAUCCUCCCACGCCAACUGCAGCCUCUUCAGCUGGGCCUUCAGGGCCAACCACGGGCCUCCCUACCUCAUGCACUCCCAGCCACUCAAUCCCACCGGCUUAUCGCUCACCACGCCGCUGCCACACCGCCUCCCCCGCGCUCCCCCGGGCAACCGCUACCCCUGGGUUUCGCUGCUGUUGGCGGCCGCGUGCGGCGCCGUCUUCACAUUCGUCGUGCUCUUCGUCUGGUACUCCAUGGGGAAGCGCCGCCCGGUCGCGCCGGUGGAGUACCCCAUGCACCCGUCCUCCUCCGACAUCGUCUACGAGAAGAUUGUGCUGGUCGGAGUCAAGGACCUCCCUGCCGAUGUCACCGCAGCUGCUCACAAGUAG
rnacentral:rRNA from 1 species